AGGCCCAUGGUGUAAUUGGCAACACAGCUGGUUUUGGUCCAGCCAUUCAAGGUUCAAGUCCUUGUGGGCCUGCCA
rnacentral:tRNA from 1 species